AAGUUGCUAAUGCUCUCCAACUAUUGCUGAAGUUGAGAAGAUGUUACAGAAACACUCCAGUGAAAGGCAUGUUUAUCUGUCCACUUAUGACAGGAGCUAGAUACGAAAAGGAAGCUAUAUGAACAAAUGCAGGUGAACAAAUGCAGUGGAAAUAGAAGAGGAACUCUGGCAGAAGAAGAAUACACUUCAAUCUCCAGUUUGAUUUAAGUCCUGUAGAAGGCAACUGACCAACAAGGAGAAGCUAAUGAAGAACAGUUUUUCCUGUUUCUACAAAAAUGCAGUUUGAUACUGAAACCACCAGGGUCAACCAACAGCAGCAUGCUAUUAACCUUGCCAUGCUGCCGGCACAGCCAGGGGAAGGAGUUCAGCCCUGUUAAGUAGCCCACAGCAGAGGCUGUGCUCAUCUGCUCACCCAGGAGAGGCAUCUCCCAGCUUACACUCUUUCCCGACCAAUCACCAGCACAAGGGUGUGGAGCACGGGGGCAAGGAGAGCAGCCAGGCAGCCAAAGAUGAUGUGUUCAGGUGAUUUUUUUUUUUUUUUCCAUUCCUCUAUCCACCAGCUACCUUCUCCAGAGGUGAUAACCCACAGGCUGAUGCUCUUCAAAGUCAAGUUGGACAAAGUGUCCAGUUCAGGACCUUUUGGGUUCUCUGUUGGAUUUUUUUUUCUAGGCAAGAAUUUCAGGAGCAGACUCUUGCACAGAAAAAAAUACCAAAAAAUGAACAACCACUGUGACUGCACAAAAUAAACAACUUCGAAUAUACUUCUGAAAGCACAAGACAGCUUUUAAAAUUGUUUAAGUUCACAAAUACCAAGCGCUGACUGAAAAAGUACAU